GGAUAUGAGGGUGAUCUGGCUGACAUCUGUCACGUUAGCCAUUGCCAGGGCUGGCUUGGCUGUCUUGGCUGGCAAGGCGUCCUCUCUACCUUCCUCACUGCUCC
rnacentral:snRNA from 1 species